rnacentral:rRNA from 1 species
AUACUGAAGGUCCAAGCGUUAAUCGGAAUCACUGGGCUUAAAGCGUGCGCAGGCGGAUUUGUAGGUAUCUUGUGAAAUCCCACGGCUCAACCGUGGAACUGCAGGGUAAACCACAAAUCUUGAGACAAGUAGGGGUCAGUGGAACUAUGAGUGGAGCGGUGAAAUGCGUAGAUAUUCAUGGGAACGCCAAUGGCGAAGGCAACUGACUGGGCUUGUUCUGACGCUCAGGUACGAAAGCGUGGGUAGCAAACGGGAUUAGAAACCCUAGUAGUCC